rnacentral:rRNA from 1 species
CGGCGACUUAUAGGUAGUGGCAGGUUAAGGUAGUGAAUACCGAAGCCAUAGUGAAAGCGAGCCUGAAUAGGGCGAUUGUCACUAGUUAUAGACCCGAACCCGGAUGAUCUAACCAUGGUCAGGUUGAAGCUUAGGUAAUACUAAGUGGAGGACCGAACCGACUGAUGUUGAAAAAUCAGCGGAUGAAUUGUGGUUAGGGGUGAAAUGCCAAUCGAAUUCGGAGCUAGCUGGUUCUCCCCGAAAUGCGUUUAGGCGCAGCGGUGAAUGUUAUAAUUUAGGGGUAAAGCACUGUUACGUAUGCGGGCUGGUAAUUCGGUACCAAAUCGUUGCAAACUAAGAAUACUAAAUGUACAGUUCACCAGUAAGACUGUGGGGGAUAAGCUCCAUUGUCAAGAGGGAAACAGCCCAGAGCACCAGUUAAGGCCCCCAAAUAAUUGCUAAGUGGUAAAGGAGGUGGGAUUGCAGAAACAAUCAGGAGGUUUGCUUAGAAGCAGCAACCCUUUAAAGAGUGCGUAAUAGCUCACUGAUCGAGUAAACCUGCGCCGAAAAUGAACGGGACUAAGUAAUUUGCCGAAACUGUGCGAUAUAUUAAAAUAUAUCGGUAGGGGAGCGUUCUGUUGUAGGUCGAAGUAUUAGCGUAAGCGGAUAUGGACGAAGCAGAAGUGAGAAUGUCGGCUUGAGUAACGAAAAUAUAGGUGGGAAUCCUAUACCCCGAAAACCCAAGGUUUCCUCCGGAAGGCUCGUCCGCGGAGGGUAAGUCAGGACCUAAGGCGAGGCUGAAAAGCGUAGUCGAUGGACAACGGGUUAAUAUUCCCGUACCAUUUUUUAUGCGAUAUCGAGGGACGGAGAAGGCUAAGCUAGCCGGAUAUUGGUUACCGGUUUAAACGUUCGAGAUGUUGAGAAGCGGAGAAAACGCUUUGAGUUGAGACGUGAGUACGAGACGCUAAGGCGUCGAAGUAGUGUAUGUCAUACUUCCAAGAAAAGCUUGCACUGUCAUUCAUAAAAAAUGCCUGUACCAUAACCGACACAGGUGGGUAGGUAGAGUAUACUAAGGGGCGCGAGAUAACUCUCUCUAAGGAACUCGGCAAAAUAACUCCGUAACUUCGGGAGAAGGAGUGCCUUAUUUAUAUAAGGUUGCAAUAACAAGAUCCAAGCAACUGUUUACCAAAAACACAGGUCUCCGCUAAGUCGCAAGACGAUGUAUGGGGGCUGACGCCUGCCCAGUGCCAGAAGGUUAAAGAAGUUGGUUAGCAAUAGCGAAGCUAGUAACUGAAGCCCUGGUGAACGGCGGCCGUAACAAUAACGGUCCUAAGGUAGCGAAAUUCCUUGUCGGGUAAGUUCCGACCUGCACGAAUGGCGUAACGACUUCCCCACUGUCUCCAGGAUAUGCUCAGCGAAAUUGAAUUCUCCGUGAAGAUGCGGAGUACCCGCGGUUAGACGGAAAGACCCCGUGCACCUUUACUAUAGUUAUGUAUUGUAAUAAAUAUUUUUAUGUAUAGAAUAUGUGGGAAGUUGUUAUAAUUUUUUUAUGCCAGUAAAUUGAAAAUAACUUAAGUGAAAUACCACUCUUAAAAUUUUUUGUUACUAAUUAUUAUAAGACAUUGCAUAAUGGGUAGUUUGACUGGGGCGGUCGCCUCCUAAAAAGUAACGGAGGCGUACAAAGGUAAGUUCAAAUUGAAAAUAUCAAUUGUAGAGCGUAAUAGUAUAUUGCUUGCCUGACUGUAAGAUUGACAAAUCAAACAGGGACGAAAGUCGGUUAUAGUGAUCCGGUGAUUCUGUGUGGAAAAGAUCACCGCUCAACGGAUAAAAGGUACGCCGGGGAUAACAGGCUGAUGAUUCCCAAGAGCUCAUAUCGACGGAAUCGUUUGGCACCUCGAUGUCGGCUCAUCGCAUCCUGGGGCGGUAGUACGUCCCAAGGGUUGGGCUGUUCGCCCAUGAAAGCGGUACGCGAGCUGGGUUCAGAACGUCGUGAGACAGUUCGGUCCAUAUCCGGUGUAGGCGUUAGAAUAUUGAGAGGAGCCUUCUUUAGUACGAGAGGACCGAGAAGGACAUACCUCUGGUGUACCAGUUAUCGUGCCAACGGUAAACGCUGGGUAGCUAUGUAUGGAGUGGAUAACCGCUGAAAGCAUCUAAGUGGGAAGCCCACCUCAAGAUGAGUAUUCUCAUCACGUAAGUGAGUAAGGUCACGGUAAGACUAACCGUUUGAUAGGCAUUAAGUAUAAGUGCAGUAAUGUAUGUAGCUGAGAUGUCCUAACAGACCGA